GAAGAUUGGUGCUUGCACUGAUCCGAUCGAGUGGCGGACGGGUGAGUAACGCGUGGGUAACCUGCCUCAUACAGGGGAAUAACAGUUGGAAACGGCUGCUAAAACCGCAUAAGCGCACGGUAUCGCAUGAUACAGUGUGAAAAACUCCGGUGGUAUGAGAUGGACCCGCGUCUGAUUAGCUAGUUGGUGAGGUAACGGCCCACCAAGGCAACGAUCAGUAGCCGGCCUGAGAGGGUGAACGGCCACAUUGGGACUGAGACACGGCCCAAACUCCUACGGGAGGCAGCAGUGGGGAAUAUUGCACAAUGGGGGAAACCCUGAUGCAGCGACGCCGCGUGAGUGAUGAAGUAUUUCGGUAUGUAAAGCUCUAUCAGCAGGGAAGAUAAUGACGGUACCUGACUAAGAAGCACCGGCUAAAUACGUGCCAGCAGCCGCGGUAAUACGUAUGGUGCAAGCGUUAUCCGGAUUUACUGGGUGUAAAGGGUGCGUAGGUGGUGAGACAAGUCUGAAGUGAAAAUCCGGGGCUUAACCCCGGAACUGCUUUGGAAACUGCCUGACUAGAGUACAGGAGAGGUAAGUGGAAUUCCUAGUGUAGCGGUGAAAUGCGUAGAUAUUAGG
rnacentral:rRNA from 1 species